CCUACGGGUGGCAGCAGUAGGGAAUCUUUCACAAUGGGCGAAAGCCUGAUGGAGCAACGCCGCGUGCAGGAUGAAGGCCUUCGGGUUGUAAACUGCUUUUAUAAGCGAGAAAUAUGAUGGUAACUUAUGAAUAAGGAUCGGCUAACUACGUGCCAGGAGCCGCGGUCAUACGUAGGAUACGAGCAUUAUCCGGAGUGACUGGGUGUAAAGAGUUGCGUAGGUGGGAUAAUAAGUAUCUGGUGAAAUCUGGUGGCUCAACCAUUCAGACUAUUAGCGAAACUGUUAAGCUCGAGACCGUUAGGGGUAACUGGAAUGUCUAGUGUAGGAGUGAAAUCCGUAGAUAUUAGAAGGAACACCAAUAGCGUAGGCAGGUUGCUGGGACGGUUCUGACGCUAAGGCACGAAAGCGUAGGGAGCAAACGGGAUUAGAUACCCUAGUAGUC
rnacentral:rRNA from 1 species